rnacentral:rRNA from 1 species
CCUACGGGAGGCAGCAGUGAGGAAUAUUGGUCAAUGGGCGUAAGCCUGAACCAGCCAAGUCGCGUGAGGGAUGAAGGUUCUAUGGAUCGUAAACCUCUUUUAUAAGGGCAUAAAGUGUGGGACGUGUCCUGUUUUGUAUGUACCUUAUGAAUAAGGAUCGGCUAACUCCGUGCCAGCAGCCGCGGUAAUACGGAGGAUCCGCGCGUUAUCCGGAUUUAUUGGGUUUAAAGGGUGCGUAGGCGGCCUUUUAAGUCAGCGGUGAAAGUCUGUGGCUCAACCAUAGAAUUGCCGUUGAAACUGGGAGGCUUGAGUGUGGUAGAGGCAGGCGGAAUGCGUGGUGUAGCGGUGAAAUGCUUAGAUAUCACGCAGAACCCCGAUUGCGAAGGCAGCCUGCCAAGCCAUGACUGACGCUGAUGCACGAAAGCGUGGGGAUCAAACAGGAUUAGAUACCCCAGUAGUC